rnacentral:tRNA from 1 species
GAGAUGGAAGCUAUUUAAGCGUUAGAUUUUUGAUCUAGAGAAGAGGAUAAAAAAACCUUUCAUUUCA